UAGGGAAUCUUCCGCAAUGGGCGAAAGCUUGACGGAGCAACGCCGCGUGAGUGAUGAAGGUCUUCGGAUCGUAAAACUCUGUUAUUAGGGAAGAACAAAUGUGUAAGUAACUAUGCACGUCUUGACAGUACCUAAUCAGAAAGCCACGGCUAACUACGUGCCAGCAGCCGCGGUAAUACGUAGGUGGCAAGCGUUAUCCGGAAUUAUUGGGCGUAAAGCGCGCGUAGGCGGUUUUUUAAGUCUGAUGUGAAAGCCCACGGCUCAACCGUGGAGGGUCAUUGGAAACUGGAAAACUUGAGUGCAGAAGAGGAAAGUGGAAUUCCAUGUGUAGCGGUGAAAUGCGCAGAGAUAUGGAGGAACACCAGUGGCGAAGGCGACUUUCUGGUCUGUAACUGACGCUGAUGUGCGAAAGCGUGGGGAUCAAACAGG
rnacentral:rRNA from 1 species